AUGUGGCUAAAUUGAAAAGGAAGAAAUGGACAAAAAAUAAAACAAGACACGUGGGAUUAAAUGGCAGAGUUCAAGAGGUUAUGCAAACCGUGCUGGUAUGCAACAGAAUAUGGAAAUCUGAAGCUAGUGCAGCUGAAAGAAACAGCAUAAACAAACAGCACACGGUGGAACACUUUGCAGUGCAUCAGCAAGCUCUCCUAUCUGCCAGAGGUUCUCCUCUAACACGGACUGUGCUCCGUCACCUGCCCUGUUUGCUGCUUCACGGUGCUGCACUGCUGGGUAUCCAGAGAAGGAAUCUGUGGGGGUCCAUGUGUGGGAGAUGCAAAAAUGAGCCCUGGAAAUACCUAGACAAAAACAGGAUCCAAAACUUCAUCCAAGAAAAGACUUUGGGAGCUGGAGGCUUAAAUCACGAUGACUCGAUCCUCAACUUCCUAAGGCUGCUUUUAAAACCUCAGCCCAAACUUCAGCCAGCCAAUACCAGCUUAGCACUGUGGGGGUUCUUUCAAUGCUCAGGACUAAGUGAUAACAAGACUACAGAGACUACAGAGGCAGGAACACUGUUUUUGGCAAAACAGAGAUGUUCUGCUUCAGCCCGUGUGUUGUAGCCUGUUGUGCACAACAUAAAUUUCAGCGUGGAGCAGAAUCUCCUUCCCUAGAGACCAGAGACCAAGUCACCACCCUGUUCCUGGUCACAGCACUCUCUCUGAGCCUGAGUCAGUGCAGUUUGUGGUUUGAGAUCUGGCAUGGGUAAGAAGAUAAGAGCAUUACAGCCUACCUCAGAGAGGCAUGUAUGAGCUGAGGAAAACACAGGUACAAAUAUUUUCAUGCUAGAGUUGGUAUGGAAACAAGGUGUUCCAAGUCUUGCUGGGAUAGAAGAACACCUCAAGCAAUGAAGAUGAAGAGAUCUAUACUGUAAGCUUUGAAUCAUAGAAUCAUAUAAUCAUUAAAGUUGGAAAGACCACUAAAGACCAUCCAGUCCAACCAUCAGCCCAUGACUGUGACUGCUCUAGACCAUGUCCCUCAGUGCCACAUUUACCCCUUCCUUGAACACCUCCAGGGACGGUGACUCCACCACCUCGCUGGGCAGCCUGUGCCACUGCCUCACCACUUUCUGAGAAAAAAUGGUUCUUAAUAUCCAACCUGAACUUCUCUGACACAACUUGAGGCCAUUCCCUCUCAUCCUAUCACUGUUAUGUGUGAGAAGAGGCUGACCCCCACCUCACCGCAAUCUCCUUUCAGGUAGUUGUAGGAAGUAACGAGAUCUCCCUUGAGCCUCCUCUUGCUGUCCAGGCAAAUGUAGGGCCAGUUGAAGUCCAAAAACACCCAGUUGUACAAAAAGCACAUCAGUUACGUCUUCUGCAUACAGCAGCACAAUUUAUACACAUACUAAACCACAAAAUGUUUUGAUGAUUAUUUGGGGAUAUGAGAGGAAGGAAAAAUGAAGAGGGAAGGGUGUGGGCUUUUUAAAAUCAAUAUGCCUAUUAG
ensembl:lncRNA